rnacentral:rRNA from 1 species
UUGACGGGGAGCACCACAACGGGUGGAGCUUGCGGUUUAAUUGGAUUCAACGCCGGAAAUCUUACCGGGACCGACAGCAAUAUGAAGGCCAGGCUGAAGACUUUGCCGGAUUAGCUGAGAGGUGGUGCAUGGCCGUCGUCAGUUCGUACUGUGAAGCAUCCUGUUAAGUCAGGCAACGAGCGAGACCCACGCCCACAGUUGCCAGCGUACUCUCUGGAGUGACGGGUACACUGUGGGGACCGCCGCUGCUAAAGAGGAGGAAGGAAUGGGCAACGGUAGGUCAGCAUGCCCCGAAUUAUCUGGGCUACACGCGGGCUACAAUGGGUGGGACAAUGGGUAUCGACACCGAAAGGUGAAGGCAAUCUCCUAAACCCAUCCGUAGUUCGGAUUGUGGGCUGCAACUCGCCCACAUGAAGCUGGAAUCUGUAGUAAUCGUGUCUCAAAAUGGCACGGUGAAUAUGUCCCUGCUCCUU